CCACCCGAAGCCAUCUCUGUCCCCCGCCUUCCUCUGGGCCCCUGCGGGAAGCGCCGGACUUUCCCGGGGAAACCCCGCGGCUCUGGUGACAUUUGCAGCAGGGUGCGUUUCCGUGGCGAGGACGCUUGAAGCGAAUUCUGAGCGUGGGUGUGGCCGCCAGAGGAUGGCUGAGACCCACGAGGCAGGUCACACGAUGGCUGGGCACUGGCUUUCCAGAACCCACGCCGACCAGCGCCCUUCAAACCUGUGCCAACGCCAGCUUGAGUUCAUUCAUUCACUGAGGAGUCGGGGACACUACCAUGGCCAAAAUAUUGCCAAGCCUCUGACGUCUUUGUGGGAAUAGGUAAGCAGAUACUGUGCGUGUGUAUUGUGGAAGGCGGUGAGAAGUACCUUGAAGACCGAGGCUGAGGCCUAAAGGCUGCUAAUAGAUUCAGGACUUCUAUAAAUCUGGUUAAGCUCCCAGACCAUCUUUGGACCAACCAUUCUGGCCAGGAGCAUCAAACAUCUUGAUGAACUCAGCCCUGGGCAUGUUUCAACCCUGGAUCACAAAUGGAGUCAAUGCUACUAGAAGUCUUGCCAUGCAGUACACAAGAGGAUGGACCAUUGAGUGAAAUAAGGAACCCCCUCCGGCCCAGUUUAAAGCUCAGGCGCCACAGCUGCGGGUUCGCGGCCUGGCAGUGGUUACCAGGCCUCUACUGCAAAGAGGAGCAACCCGGCCAAAGACCACGCGCUCCUCGGAACAAGAUGUGGGCCAAGGCACCCGAACCGAAGGGUCGCACCCUCAGCUG